rnacentral:rRNA from 1 species
GACGAACGCUGGCGGCGUGCCUAAUACAUGCAAGUCGAGCGCUUCUUUCCUUCCGAGUUCUUGCACUCAAUUGGAAAGAGGAGUGGCGGACGGGUGAGUAACACGUCGGUAACCUACCCAUCAGAGGGGGAUAACACUUGUAAACAGUUGCUAAUACCGCAUAACAGUUUAUGCCGCAUGGCAUAAGAGUGAAAGGCUCUUUCGGGUGUCGCUGAUGGAUGUACCCGCGGUGCAUUAGCUAGUUGGUGGGGUAACGGCUCACCAAGUCCACGAUGAAUAGGCGACCGGAGAGGGUGGUGGGCCACACUGGGACGGAGAAAAGGCGCAGAAUCCUACGAGAGGAAGCAGUAGGGAAUAAUAGGCAAUGGACGAAAGUAUGACGGAGCAACGACGCGGGAGUGAAGAAGGUUUUCGGAUCGUAAAAAUCUGUUGUUGGAGAAGAACAAGGACGGUAGUAACUGAACGUGCCCUGACGGUAUCUAAACAGAAAGCGACGGCUAACUACGUG